rnacentral:rRNA from 1 species
AUUGAACGCUAGCGGGAUGCCUUACACAUGCAAGUCGAACGGAGUGGCGAACGGGUGCGUAAUGUAUCGGAACGUGCACAGUAGCGGGGGAUAUCUACGCGUAAGCGUAGCUAAUACCGCAUACUAUUGGUGUGGCCGAUAUCGGAUUCGCUUGUUGGUGUGGUAACGGCGCACCAAGGCGACGAUCCGUAGCUGGUUUUAGAGGACGACCAGCACAACUGGGACUGAGACACGGCCCAGAAUCCUACGGGAGGCAGCAGUGGGGAAUUUUGGACAAUGGGGGAAACCCUGAUCCAGCCAGCCCGCGUGUAGGAUGAAGGCCUUCGGGUUGUAAAGCACUUUUGGCAGGGAAGCGGUACCUGCAGAAUAAGCACCGGCUAACUACGUGCCAGCAGCCGCGGUAAUAC